AGACAUCGACCUCAAGGAAUAGGAUUAAGCUUUUCCGGAUAUUACAGUGAUGCUGGUGAAUGUUUCCUGGAGCUCUUGGCUAUCAUUUCACAGAGGAAAAACAAAUGGAGAGACCUCGGGGUGACCGUCUCUGUGUCCUGGACAGGGAGGCGAUCGUUCUGGAAGCUUGCCCUCCUGGUCCUGCAGACACCAGACCCAGCCGGGAGUGUUUCAUCUCGUCUCGUGGCUCAUGAUGUGAACCAGACAGACCUCUCCUCCUGUCCUCCUUGCUUAUCCUCGCCUCAGCCACCUUUAUUUAUGAUUUUUUAUACCAGACAACUGGGCUUCCCUGGUGGCUCAGCUGGUAAAGAAUCCGCCUGCACUGCGGGAGACCUGGGUUCGAUCCCUGGGUCGGGAAUAUCCCCUGGAGGAAGAAAUGGCAACCCAGUCCAGUAUUCUUGUCUGGAGAACCCCGUGGACCGAGGAGCCUGGCAGGCUGCAGUCCACGGGGCCACAAUGAGCUGGACGUGACAGUAACUGAGCACAGCACCGCAUACCAGACAAUCAUUAGCCACUGUCUCCUUCCAGGAAAUGUACCUUAAAAGCGGAAAUGCUCACAUUUCUCCUGAUGUUAUAUAUAUAUAUAUGGUUUCUCAAAGGAUUUCUUGAUGAAUAUCUCCUUCUAUAAAUUCAUUGAAUUAACAAUUAAAUGGAUUGGAUAAAGAGUUCUCCUGAAGCCCUUUCUCCACGCUCUUAACUGAGUCUGCUUUUCCUGUUGAGGUGUGGCUGAUUUACAACGUCGUCUUCAUUUCCGCUGCUGUACAGGUAUGCGUACACAUUCUUUUCACGUUCUUUUUUGUUACGCUUCAUCUCAGGAUAUUGGACACAGUCUCAUGUGCUACACAGUAGGACCUUGUCUAUCCACCCUAUAUAUACUAGUCUGCACUUGCUAACCCUGAACUUCCCCCCGCCUCCAUUUUUCUCUACCUUGAAUAAAAAAGGAUAAGGGUUUUUGCUUUACUUUCA
rnacentral:lncRNA from 1 species